rnacentral:rRNA from 1 species
GUACCCCAAACCGACACAGGUGGUCGGGUAGAGAAUACCAAGGCGCUUGAGAGAACUCGGGUGAAGGAACUAGGCAAAAUGGUACCGUAACUUCGGGAGAAGGUACGCUCUUGAUGGUGAAGUCCCUUGCGGAUGGAGCUGACGAGAGUCGCAGAUACCAGGUGGCUGCAACUGUUUAUUAAAAACACAGCACUGUGCAAAAUCGUAAGAUGACGUAUACGGUGUGACGCCUGCCCGGUGCCGGAAGGUUAAUUG